rnacentral:snRNA from 1 species
UCACUUUGGCAGCAUGGACAUUAACACUGGGUCAAUGCAGAGAAGAGGAGCAGGGCCCUUGUACAAGGAUGACACAGACAUUCACGAACUGCUCUGCGGAGAU